rnacentral:lncRNA from 1 species
GGAGAAAUUAUAUUUGGAACUAGAAAGAAGUAGCAAAGCCAUGGAGGACCACAGGUGCGAUGCUGGGGCAGAAACGUAGUGGAAUGAUAGUUGUGAAUGUUCCCCACAAGGUUAGAAAGCUGAGGCACACAGAGAGGGCAAGUAACAGGCCUGAAGUUACACUGCUGGUGAGUCACAGAGCCAUGCUUCAAACCUAGCCUCCUGGCUUCCGAGCCCAGCACUUGGCCACGGCGCUGUGUAGGCUGGCUGGGGCUUGAGUGCUUCCUGGAUGUUUAUGGAAUAUUUUCAAGAGAAAUAUUUUCCUGAGAGCCGACGCCUCCUCUGAAACCCUGCAGCCUUCUCAGCAGGAAACAAUCAGAAGCUUGGCCUUGCCUGCAAAACUCAACACUGAACACCUGAAGGAAAAAAAAAUCCCAUUGGCAAAGCUUGCUUUUAACCGUGGGAGACACCAAGCAACGUUGCCAGUUUCCCGGGGGCCCAAUACCUUUCUGACUUUGCAAUAACUCCCAAGUUAAACAAAUUGCCAAAGAGUUAUAAGCCUCUUAUUAGUUGGAUGGCUUCCCCCAAUUGCUCUGCUGGCUGCAUUUUCCCUGCACACACAUUGGUGAGUUCUGCCGACUAUUCGUGUGCCUGCAAGUUGAGGAGCUCUGGCAUUUCUGUGAUCUACAGUCUCCAAUCUCCACUCCCUCUUGCCUUCACUUUGAACUGAAGUGCUGUCUUAAGCAACCCCACUACCCACCACCUAACAAGCCAGGACGUGAGUCUUCAUGACUGUUACAACACUUGAACCUGAUUCCAGGCUAACCAGUAACACCAGUAUUCAAACUGCAGUGUGAGGAACACCGCAACAAGCUGAAGAAAUGGCCUGUACCGAUUUCCUAAUGGUCAGAGGAUGAAGUGCGGCACAGCAACAGCUGGAAACACAGGUUACAGAAGGCUUAGACAAGAGAGGCAUUGGAGAAUACCGUGAAAAUCUAAAAUAGAGAGCUAGCAUUCGUUUAUGGCCUUCAGUUUACAUGGCAGAAGCCAAAAUGGAGAGCUGGGAGAGAUCAGUUUCACCUGGGUAAAGACCAAUCGGAUGCUUUGGGAUAAAAAUCCACUUUAGAAAUUAAAUUAUCCAUUUCAGUUUACCGCCCUAAUUCAUAAGUCAAUGUCCAACUCUAUUUGAUUUUGUAUUGAACAAAAUUUAGCUGUUAUACCAACUUCUGUUUCUGCAUGAAUUUACAUAUAACAUAAGAUCUCUGUGGACUGGGUGUGGUGACUUGCAUCUGUAAUCCCAGCACUUUGGGAGGCUAAGGUUGCAGGGUCACUUCAGCCAGGGAGUUUGAGACCAGACUAGGCAAUAUAGUGAGACCUCGUCUCUACAAAAAAUUUAAAAAACAAACCAAAAACAGCCAAAUGUGGUGGUGCACGUCUAUAGUCCCAGCUACUCUGGAGGCUGAGGUGAGAGGAUUGCUUGAGCCCAGGGGGUCAGAGGCUGCAGUGAGCUGGGAUCACACCACUGCACACCAGCCUGGGAAACAGAGGAAGAUUCUGUCAAAAAGAAAACAAAACUGUAUGAUGAUUAUACAACGUGAAAUGAAGCAAUUCCAUCAAAAUUUAUUCCUCAAU